rnacentral:lncRNA from 1 species
UGUGUAGGUCACAACUCGCUAUCAUAGUAACACACAACUAACGCAGAAUCAAACAAAUAUAACUUUAAGUACUAGGUUUGCUCUUGACUUAUAAAUCUACACGAUUAUGGCUAACUUGACAAACUAACUAAACAACAAACAUGGGCAACACAAACACACAACAAAAAGCAAAGAAAAGAUUAAAACUAGGGAAAACUAAUUGACAUCUAAAACUAAAGAAAUAGUCUAUCAAAUCAACUAAACCAAAGCUAUAAAUCGAAAACACAAGGCACUAGAUGAAGCCAAAAGACCCACCACCGGCCACCAGCAAGAUUAAGCAAUAACUCCUAGCAACCACACAGGCAACAACGAACAAAUCAAAAACAAAAAUAAUCUUCAAAAAACCCCAAAUAAAGUUAGGAUUUAUGCAACCAUGGACUAGAUCAGAGAGUUUGAGGACAAGCUUAGUUGUGAAGGGGUUUAGGUGGAGGGUGUCUGAAACUUG